GUGCUCCCUUCGGCAGCACAUAGACUAAAAAUUGGAACAAUACAGAGAUUAGCAUGGCCCCUGCGCAAGGAUGACAUGCAAAUUCGUGAUGCGUUCCAUAUUUAA
rnacentral:snRNA from 1 species